ensembl:snRNA U6 U6 spliceosomal RNA
GCGGUCCCUUCUGCAGCACCUGUACUCAAAUUGGAAUGAUACGAUGAAGAUUAGCAUGGCCCCAGAGCAAGGACGUCAUCCAAUUCCUGAAGUGUUCCAGUGAAAA